GACGAACGCUGGCGGCAUGCCUAACACAUGCAAGUCGAACGAGACGUGCUGUUUCCGGUGCCCGCGGGUUCGGAAAGCGUUAGGAACUGGCCCUAGGUUGGGAAUCAACACCUGAAAAGGGUGCCAAUAACGGCUAAGGUCUUGGGACCAAAGAUUGAUCGCCCUUGGGUGGGCCCGCGUGUGUUUAUCUCGUGGGUAGGGUAAAAGCAUAUCCAGGGGCCGCGCCAUGGCGGGUGUGAGAGGGUGAUCAGCCACACUGGGACUGAGACACGGCCCAGACUCCUACGGGAGGCAGCAGUGGGGAAUAUUGGACAAUGGGCGAGAGUCUGAUCGAGCAGUGCCGCGUGAGUGAUGAAGGCAUGAGUGUUGUACAGCUCUUUUACCCGGGAUGGUAAUGACAGUACCGGGAGAAUAAGCACCGGCUAACUCCGUG
rnacentral:rRNA from 1 species